GGGUUUGGCGGGCGGGGGGUGUGCACUCCUUGUCUGGGUCACGUCAGUUGUGCCCGUGUCGCCAGUUGGGCGUCUGAAAGUGAGAGUGAAGGACUGCUAAUGCUGUGCCGCAGAAAAGGAACACACUUCAGAGAAGGAUGAGGAGUUCUGAUUACAAGCAAGAGCUCAUGGGAUGACAGAACCUUCCCUGGUCUAUUUGGUCUGAUAUCUUGUGUCCAAAACUGAUCUGUAACAGACAUUUCACAGGAGGAUGCAAAGAAAUUUGGAAGUAAGUACAGAUUUUUCCUUUCCAGGAGAGUACUCCCUCAUAGGCAUGAGGAGUGAAGAAAGAUUAGAGAAGUUGUUGAAAAUCUUAAGGCUGCUAAUAGUUGUUACAUCAGAAAAUCAGUUGCAUGUAGUAAAAAACUUAAUUUAGUCUCAGUGGAAUGGAACGGAAAUUGCAGUUUCCUUCCACACAAGCCAGAUCAAGCUGCAUUUUCUGUGCUCUUCUCUGCUGUGGCUCUGACAACUUAGUCUCAGAAAUGAUCUCUCUAAGGCAUCAACAGCAAAAGGAGAAAAACUCAUUCUAUCUGUGAGAAUGAAUUUCAAAUUUCCCAUUUUAUAAUACCUGACAUUCUUUUCUAAAAAACUAAAAAGUUUAUUACAAGCAAAACCCUACUUAAUACCUUUGUAAAAACUAUAUCACAUGGUCAGCCUAAAAGUCAGAAUUCUGUCAAUUCUGUUGAAUAUCUGUGAUAAUUUUUAAUACCUUACAUGAUUUUUGUAUAUUAGAUUAUUUUUUUUAUUUAGGUGGACUAACUGAAAAUUGAAAAGGUGUUGAAAAUGUAUAUAGAGGAUCCCGAAUUCACAUGUCUUCAGAGGUGGUUUUACUAGAUUCCAUCCUCAACUCCAAAGGCAGCUUGUGAUAGUUAGCCACAGCAGCUCUUUGGUUUCAUGCCAGGCCACAUGUAGGUUCAGAAGAAAACAGUGUUACCUCCAUCUUCUUCUUCUCCUCUCCCUACUGCUGCACUUCUUCCUCCCUGAAGGUUAAAACCCAGCUCCCCUGCUGCUUCAUGAGAACUAAUCUUCACCCCAUGCAAGAAAUCCCUGCCUGCAUCUAAGACAAUUGAGAACUGACAGUGAUGAUCCUGCCGUGCCCAGCAGAGCCCUUUUCUCUCCCUGCCCAAUAUGGUUGCAACAGUCCAACUGAAAUUCACCAAAAAAGUUCAGUCUCCUAACCAUCAAGACUCAAAAGGAUUUUUCCAGUUACUGCAAUGUAAAACUGUCAGUUCAUACUUGGGUAAAAUAUGGAGAAAACCACUUCUUAACAAAAGUCCAAUGCACAUAACAACCUGUGGCAUCUUCCAGAAAAUUUCAGCUGUUCCCAUGCCUGUCAUUCUACUACCAUGAAAAUAUACUUUUGGGUCAGAAAAGGACUAUGGCAUCCUGAGAAGUAAACCAGCUCAUCCCCUACAGUGAUUCACUGUCUUCACCUUCUAUCCAUGCCAUUGAAAGCUCCGAUGUUAUCUAUGUAACAGGGACCCAGAGUCUCAGAAGCUGCUUAAAAGUGGAGCCAGAGCAAGUUCCCAAUUUGUUUAUUCCUCUUCCAAAUCACUCCUGAGCUUUCAUUCAGAAAUAGACUUACAGCUGUGACUACAGUGAGGAGGACCCCUCUCUUAGUUGUUCUGCCCUUCCUUAGGUUUCCCUCCUGGUAUAGUUUUAUUCUCUACUGUAUUCUCAAGUAACAGGCAGACACAAAUAAUACAUAUAUGUAUAGCACAUAGGUAAUAUAAUGCAGCCAGAUGUUACAUUUCAUUUACAAUGAUAGAAUUAAUUUUUUUACAGAAAAUGAGUUUACUGUGCAGAGUUUAAUUACUCAUAUUUAGUAUUUCACCAAUUCCUUUAUCUUUCUUUAAUGUGCCAUCUACAGCAGUUCAUACCUCUAAAAA